UUUUUAUCAUAAAUAAGUCUCUCAUUUCAAACUAGAUGUCCCAAAGUUGAUUUAACUCUAUAAAGUGUUAUACAAACAACUAAAAGUAAUAUGAAAACAUAAACUUCUUAAACACAUGCCAUUAAAAUUUUCAUUAUGCGAAUUUCAAAUCUGCCACUGAACAAAGCCUUCGCCUAUAAUGCCAACUGUUGAUGAAUCAACAAUUUCUUCAGAUAAUAGUGCUUGGCUAAAUCUGACCAAAAAAAAAAGUAAAUUAAUUUUUCAUUUUUUAGAUUAAUAACACAAAAUAUAACUUUUAUUUGAGAAAUAAUAAUAUGCAAGCAUAAAAUUGUCAAGUUACUGAUACCAUGUCAGGAGGUUCCAUUUCACCCAUGCUCUGCAUUGCAAGUUAGUGAUAUGUUCAAAGUUUUCUGUUGAAUAAAAAAUAAAAUUACGUUCCAAGUUUUCAGUUGAAGGAAAAAAAUAAAGUUGCUUCCAGACCAUGCACCUAUGUAAUUGAAAUUAGAAUACAGCAGAAUACGGGCGUGCAACUACAACUGCAAGAUGUGAAGCAAACUUUUGAUUCAAUAAAUCACAAAACCUCAUUUAUUCAAUAAUGGGUGCGUGCAACCACAACCGGAAGAUGUAAAACAAACUUCAUGGAGUCACUGACAGUGGCAUUUAAUUCUAAUUUUAACAAUCCAAUACAAUUUUCUUUGCUAUUUGGUUUGCAAGAGAAGCAAAUCAAUAAUUACUGUGUGCAGAACAGUGACAGCGAAAAAUAAUCAAUAAGACUCGCAAGUUUAGAUUUAUUUUCCAUUAUGUGUGCAGGCAAUGUGUUUUUGCAGUAACAGAGCAUUCUGAAUAAAUCCUAGAUUGCUAUUUAGUUCAAAUAAGAAAAGCACCGUAAAGCAAAUAUCAAUCAUGUAUGUGGUGUGGAAAGUAUCAAAUAUCAAUCAAGGGCAACAGACCAGAUACAGAGUGAAGAGCAUUAGAGCAAUUUCCACAAAAAAAAUGCCAUUAGCACUCCAUUUCUACAUCAUCAACUGAAAUCAAUUAGUCACUCGCGUGUGUCUGUCUAUGUAGACAAGGAAAGAUUUAACAGCAAAUUGCUUUUUGGACUUCCAGUUGCUUAGAAAAUGAAAAACCAUGUACCCCAGCAUUAUAAGGGCACAGUAUAAAAAAAAAAUCCCAAAGUUCCAGGGUUUUAAAAUGGGUUUUACCAUUAGGAAUUGAAUAUAGAGCUUAACAAUUCAAGUAUUUUCACUACAUACCAUACCAUAAUAAAGAAAACAAGAAGAAAUCCGUUUAGGAAACUCAGACUAACUACAAAAUCAAUAUUAUCAAUGGAAAGCUGCAAGAAUUCUUGACAAUACUUGCUUACAAAAAGAAUAAUCAACACUGCUCCCAUAGCCUGUUAACUAAUUCCUGCAGAUAUAUUACUUACAAAAUAAGAAUACUAACAACACUUGAUUCAAGAAUACUAAAUUGUUAAUAACACUCGCAACAAAAUUAUAUAUAAUACAGUAUUUAAUUAUUGCUUAUUAUGAAUACAAUAUUCAAGCCUGCAUUUUCAAAUGGUCUUCCACAAGAUGUUUACGUAGAUCAACCACAGUGCUUUAUAAUCCCAGGACAUGAUGAGAAAGUUUACAAGUUGCGAAAAAAGCACUCAAUGGUCUUAAAACAAGCACCAAGAUCCUGGUAUGGUAGAAUAGAUGAUUAUCUCUUGCAGCAAGAUUUUAGAAAAAGUCAGAGUGAAGCUACAUUAUAUGUCAAGGUAGCUGGAGAGAAUUUAGAUAAUCUCACUUUGUUUUGAUGAUUUACUUAUGAAAGGUAGCAAUUCAGAUAUGAUUGAGAAGUUCAGAAUCCAGAUGGAGGAGGAGUUUGAAAUGACAGACCUAGGAUUGGUCUCCUUUCCUAGGAAUGGAUACAAGGCAAGAGAAAAAUGGAAUCUUCAUUUGUCAAAGGAAAUUCGCUCAAGAAAUUUCACAUGGAAAAUUGCAAACCAGUCGAUAAACCACUUAUGCUGAACAAAAAAUUAUCAAACGAAGAUGGGACUGCUCAAGUAGAAGGCAAACUCUACAGAAGCCUUAUUGGGAGUUUAUUAUACUUAACUACUACUCGACCAGCUUUAAUGUACCCUGCAAGCCUACUUUCUAGAUUUAUGAGCAGCAAAACAGUAAGUUUUCAUAAACCCAGCUGAAUACAUUGCAGCUGCCACCACAGUUAAUCAAGUUAUUUGAUUGGGAAAAAUUUUUAAAAAGACUUGGGACAAGAACAACCAGAGUCAGCUCAAAUUAAUUGCGGCAGCAUAUCAGCAAUAAAAGAGUAGAAAUCAAGUGCGGAAGUGAAUGUUACAGUUCUACUUAAUGAUCUCCAAAAGCACAACAGUUUAAUGUCUUCAAACCUUUUUUUUUUCAAAAAAUCAUAAUAGAUAUGUAGUUAUGGUUUUAAGAGCCACCAAUUACAAGUCACCCAACAACAAAGAUUUGUGUUUUUUUAGCAAAAAUCAAAAUAAUUUGCAUGAGUGAAAUAUUCUCUCAGCUAACUGAGCACAAGCUAGGAAAAUUAGAAGUUGAUUUUGCGUCAAGGAUGUUAUUGGUCAACAAUGAAAACGGACUGUUAUA
rnacentral:misc_RNA from 1 species